GGGAUCUUGCGCAAUGGGCGAAAGCCUGACGCAGCGACGCCGCGUGGGGGAUGAAGGCCCUCGGGUUGUAAACCCCUUUCGGCAGGGACGCAGCGAUCGUGACGGUAGCUGCAGAAGAAGCCUCCGCUAACUACGUGCCAGCAGCCGCGGUAAGACGUAGGCGGCGAGCGUUGUCCGGAUUCACUGGGCGUAAAGAGCGCGCAGGCGGCCCGGUCAGUCGGAUGUGAAAACCCGGGGCUCAACCCCGGGCAUGCACCCGAUACUGCCGAGCUAGAGGUAGGUAGGGGAGAUCGGAAUUCCUGGUGUAGCGGUGAAAUGCGCAGAUAUCAGGAGGAACACCGGUGGCGAAGGCGGAUCUCUGGGCCUUACCUGACGCUCAGGCGCGAAAGCUAGGGGAGCGAAC
rnacentral:rRNA from 1 species